UACGAAGGGGACUAGCGUUGUUCGGAAUCACUGGGCGUAAAGCGCACGUAGGCGGAUAUGUCAGUCAGGGGUGAAAUCCCGGGGCUCAACCUCGGAACUGCCUUUGAUACUGCAAAUCUCGAGUCCGGAAGAGGUGAGUGGAAUUCCUAGUGUAGAGGUGAAAUUCGUAGAUAUUAGGAAGAACACCAGUGGCGAAGGCGGCUCACUGGUCCGGUACUGACGCUGAGGUGCGAAAGCGUGGGGAGCAAACAGG
rnacentral:rRNA from 1 species